rnacentral:lncRNA from 1 species
UUUUAUGUGAUAGAAGAUAAGCAAGCUUAUAGUUCCACGGAAUUAAUUGGACUGAGUCACAAUGCAGCAACAGAUAUAGAAAGACAAAACAACCUAGCUAGACUAACUGUAGUUAUAAUCAGUUUAAUAGAUAGUUAAAGAAAUGCCAACACUCCUAAUCUGCUUUUACAGUUUCGGGAAUGAGAUACAAUCUUUGUCUAGGAAAAACUGAUAUGAUUCUGGGUACAACAAACAUCUGAUUGUUAAGAAAGCUCAUACAAUUCCCAUCCUCAGCUGAACGAAUGGUUAAUCACUCGGAACAGUAGUGACCAAUAAUACACUCAAAAUCAUCAAGCAAUCAACUAUUGUUCAGAAAUAUCACGAAACUAUAUUCAACUAUUUGGCUGCAGAAGAAACUGUUGCAUCACAGUUUCGUAUGCAAAGAAUCCUUGACUAAGUGUGCUGGUAAUUCAUCAUUAUCAGAAACAACUUAUCAGAUUACUCAAAGGCGUCUACAAUUCAACAAGUGAAAGUAAAUUAGAGAACAUCCAAACAGUUCAAUCACCAAUCUCAUAGUUCCAUAAUUUCGAGCCACUACCACACCUAUUCUACCAGAACAUGCAAGUAAAAGUUCUUUCCCUGCAGAUAAACUGAAUCCAAUGACAUAAACAGCUAGGAUAACGAUAGAAGUUCACUCAUUAUCGUGACUAAUGAAAAAAUUAAGAGGGAAAUCAUGAGCUAUACACAUACAUACAGUCCAAUCGACGAAUUACAGACACGAGAAAACUCUCAAGCAAUUACUCACAGGAGUGAAAAGCAUCUCAGCAGUGGGAGUCUCAUACUCCUCGGUGCCUUCAUAUGGUACAUUCAGGUCAUGCAAUAGAGUAGGAUCUCUAGGUGCCUGCUUCUGACCUGAAGAUCGCUCUAUUGGCCCCAAAACCAUACCCGCUUGCAUCAUCUUCAUCUCCCAAAUCUGAGGAACAAAUCAUCAAUCAGAACAGAUAAUCGCAAAAUCGUACAACCAAAAUUCAAUACCCUAGGCAUUCUAUUAAGAUCCAGAAAUAACACCGAUCCACAACCGCACCAGCUCAUAACAUACCAAAACCCAGAAACGAAGGAAUAAAAUAAAGAACAAGAACAACAGCAGAAACGAAGGAAUCAAAUAAAGAACAAGAACAACAGCAGAAACGAAGAAAUCAAAUAAACCUGUUACAUUGUUAAUGCUCAAAGUUGGCGAUAGGCUCAACCCUCAGGUGGCCGCUGUGGCCGGAGAAACCAACCUCGAAUGCGAACUCAUUCGAAGGUUGGAUCCGAUUCAUACCAAGUCGCUGAUUGCACCCCAUCUUUUUGAAUAUACAGUGGUGAUGCUUUUUUUUGGUAAAGUUACAGUGGUGAUGCUAGUGAGAGGAAUUUGUAAUAAAGAGAGUGCGCGGGGAUUUUGAGAUUUUUCGCGGCUAUAAAGCUACAGGCCACAAGGCUGUACACUUGCGAUCGCCCAAAACAACUGGAUUCGGCCAGGAAAUAUUGGGCCAAGCCACACUGCCA